rnacentral:rRNA from 1 species
CAAACCAAAGCUGGUGACCGGCGCACGGGUGAGUAACACGUAUCCAACCUGCCUCAUACUCGGGGAUAGCCUUUCGAAAGAAAGAUUAAUAUCCGAUAGCAUAUAUUUCCCGCAUGGGUUUUAUAUUAAAGAAAUUCGGUAUGAGAUGGGGAUGCGUUCCAUUAGUUUGUUGGGGGGUAACGGCCCACCAAGACUACGAUGGAUAGGGGUUCUGAGAGGAAGGUCCCCCACAUUGGAACUGAGACACGGUCCAA